rnacentral:rRNA from 1 species
GUCCAGACUCCUACGGGAGGCAGCAGUGGGGAAUAUUGCACAAUGGGGGAAACCCUGAUGCAGCGACGCCGCGUGAGUGAAGAAGUAUUUCGGUAUGUAAAGCUCUAUCAGCAGGGAAGAAAAUGACGGUACCUGACUAAGAAGCCCCGGCUAACUACGUGCCAGCAGCCGCGGUAAUACGUAGGGGGCAAGCGUUAUCCGGAUUUACUGGGUGUAAAGGGAGCGUAGACGGCAUGGCAAGUCAGAUGUGAAAGCCGGGGGCCCACCCCCGGGACUGCUCUGAAACUGCGGCGCUGGAGUACGGGAGGGGCAGGCGGAAUUCCUGGUGUAGCGGUGAAAUGCGUAGAUAUCAGGAGGAACACCGGCGGCGAAGGCGGCCUGCUGGACCGUGACUGACGUUGAGGCUCGAGAGCGUGGGGAGCAAACAGGAUUAGAUACCCGAGUA